rnacentral:rRNA from 1 species
AUGGAUUCCAUGAGCGCUGUAGGUAUGGAGGCGGUCGCCGCCGGCGAGCCACAGGCCAUCGGAAAGGGAGCCACAUAUGACGUUUGCUCCGAGGCGACCAGCGGCUGGACGCGAAGGGUUAGGAUUGGGAAGGCACCUGAGGAGAGGGAGAUGAACCCUGAUAGGAAAACAGCACUUGAAUUGUCAGUUCGCGCUUAUGCAGAGACAAAAUCUGGGCCAGUCAUCAAUCCAACAAUUGGCACAUCUUUUGACUCAUUGGAUGAAGCAUAUGAGUUCUACAACCUCUAUUCAUGGGAAUAUGGUUUCGGCGUGAGGCUUGCGAAAAGCAGACUGAAUGUUAAUCGGAAGAGAUGUAUGCAAGAAAUAAUGUGUGCUUGUGCGGGCAAACCAAUGAGGGAAAACAGUCGAUCAUCAAGGUGCGGGUGUGAAGCCAUGAUUAGAUUGCUCCGUUCAAAUGACAACGGUUGGUACAUAUCAGAGUUCAAAUCUGGCCAUAACCACCCGUUGUCUGUGACAUGUGGAGAAAAAUGCAUUGAAAGUCACACAGGCACAUCGAUAGGUACACGAAGGAUCUGGUGA